GAUGAACGCUAGCGGGAGGCUUAACACAUGCAAGUCGAGGGGCAUCACGAGGUAGCAAUACUUUGGUGGCGACCGGCGCACGGGUGAGUAACGCGUAUGCAACCUACCCUGUACAGGGGGAUAGCCCGGAGAAAUUCGGAUUAAUACCCCAUAAUGAUAUUUUAUGGCAGCAUAAAAUAUUUAAAGCUCAGGCGGUACGGGAUGGGCAUGCGUAACAUUAGCUAGUUGGUAGGGUAAUGGCCUACCAAGGCGACGAUGUUUAGGGGUCCUGAGAGGGUGAUCCCCCACACUGGUACUGAGACACGGACCAGACUCCUACGGGAGGCAGCAGUGAGGAAUAUUGGUCAAUGGGCGCGAGCCUGAACCAGCCAUCCCGCGUGAAGGAAGACUGCCCUAUGGGUUGUAAACUUCUUUUCCAGGGGAAUAAAAUCUCGAACGAGUUCGGGACUGAAGGUACCCUGGGAAUAAGCAUCGGCUAACUCCGUGCCAGCCGCCGCUGUAACAC
rnacentral:rRNA from 1 species